UACGUAGGUGGCAAGCGUUGUCCGGAUUUACUGGGCGUAAAGAGCGCGCAGGCGGUCGUUCAAGUCGCGUGUGAAAGCCCCCGGCUCAACUGGGGAGGGUCACGCGAUACUGAUCGACUCGAAGGCAGGAGAGGGUAGUGGAAUUCCCGGUGUAGUGGUGAAAUGCGUAGAUAUUCGGAAGAACACCAGUGGCGAAGGCGACUCACUGGACAUGUAUUGACGCUGAGGUGCGAAAGCGUGGGGAGCAAACAGG
rnacentral:rRNA from 1 species